rnacentral:rRNA from 1 species
GAUGAACGCUAGCUACAGGCUUAACACAUGCAAGUCGAGGGGCAGCAUGGACAUAGCUUGCUAUGUUUGAUGGCGACCGGCGCACGGGUGCGUAACACGUAUCCAAUCUGCCCGUUACUCGGGGAUAGCCUUCUGAAAGGAAGAUUAAUACCCGAUGGCAUGUAUUUCCGGCAUCGGAGAUACAUUAAAGAUUAAUCGGUAACGGAUGAGGAUGCGUACGAUUAGCUUGUUGGCGGGGUAACGGCCCACCAAGGCAACGAUCGUUAGGGGUUCUGAGAGGAAGGUCCCCCACACUGGAACUGAGACACGGUCCAGACUCCUACGGGAGGCAGCAGUGAGGAAUAUUGGUCAAUGGUCGGAAGACUGAACCAGCCAAGUAGCGUGAAGGAUGACUGCCCUACGGGUUGUAAACUUCUUUUGUUUGGGAAUAAAAGACGCUACGUGUAGCGUUCUGCAUGUACCUUACGAAUAAGCAUCGGCUAAUUCCGUGCCAGCAG